rnacentral:rRNA from 1 species
UGCCUGACGUGGACGCUAGUCUCACAGAUUUAGCCAUGCAUGUGUAAGCGAAGCUAUAUGUGGAGCGGUGAAAGGCUCAGUAACGGGCGAUUUAUUUAAUCUCCUGGGACGGACAACAUCGGGAAACUGAUGGGAAAACGUCUAAGUUGCAUUAAUAUUAGUGUGACGUAAACGGUAAUCGUGCAGGAGAGUAAGAUGCCAUCCUAUCAGUUAGUAAGUAGGGUAAGGGCCUACUUAGACGAAGACGGGUACGGGGAAUGAGGGUUUGAUUCCGGAGAGGGAGCCUGAGAGAUGGCUACCAGGACCAAGGUCAGCAGCAGGCGCGAAAAUUAUCGAAGCCCGCCUAGGGGCGAUAGUGAGGAGACGUGUAUAACGAAGUACGUGUAAAGAACGUACUAAUAACUGGAGGUCAAGUCUGGUGCCAGCAUCCGCGGUAAUUCCAGCUCCAGGGGUGUCUAUGAUGAUUGCUGCGAUUAAAAAGUCCGUAGUCAAGCUGACUGACUGACCUGCAAUGUGAUUGAUCAAAGAACGAGCAGGGUUAGGAAAGCAGAGAAUUAGGAGCGACCGAGGGCUAGAGUAUUGAAUGGCGAGAGGUGAAAUUUGAUGACCCAUUCAGGAGUGACAAAKGCGAAGGCACUAGUCAAGGGCGAAUCCGAUGAUCAAGGACGUAGGCUAGAGUUUCGAAAACGAUUAGAGACCGGAGUAGUUCUAGCAGUAAACUAUGCCGACGCCGUGAUAUUGUUUUUUGUGGCAGUAUGGCGGAAGAGAAAUCAAGUAUGGCUUUGGGAAGAGUACGCGCGCAAGCGAUAAAUUUAAAGGAAAUUGACGGAGGAACACCACAAGGAG